CUGUUCUCAACCACCAUCCAUGUCUAAAUUAAUUUCAUCUUGAUAAGAAAAUAUCACUUAAUUCCAUAUUUAUAGAUCCAAUUAAAAUUAAUUUCAUGUUUACAAGAGAAUCUUACAUAGGCAUAUCAACAAACAUUUGAUAUGCAUUUAAAAUGCAAAGUUUUCAUAUGAAUCACUUUAAUGCAAAUGAACUGAAACUUAUUAAAGUUUGAUAACAAGAAAUAAAGAAACAAAGCAAAACAUGACCAUCAUGAUUCAACAGAAAGAAAGAAAUUAAUUGUUAAGGUUACUACAGGGACACAUAGUCGAUCAUCCAAUAUUAUUAUUCAAUUUAUUAAUGAAGUAGACUGAUUUAAGGAGUAGAUAAAUAAGACAAGUAUCAAAUGAGGAAUAUAAAGGUUCGAUCUUAGGAAGAAGAAGAGAGAUACGUGAAGAAGAUAAAGGUGUGAUUUGAGAGGGAAGCCUUACCAGUCCGCUUGCAGUGGUAUAAUUUUAACAUUGAAGACAUUAUCCUUGAGGGUUUUGAAGUCGAGGUAGUCCUAUAUGGUGAAGUAAGGUGGGAGAGAGAUUUGAGUGACACAAAUAGCACGAAACUAGAUAGUAGAGAAGUGGCAAUCCGCCUCUUGACACCUAUUGUACUUUUCUGAGAGUUGAGAUAGACGAGAUCCAAAAUCGAUUAGGUGGUGAAAGCUUACCGACCAGUGAGAGGGAUAAACUGGGUAGUGAGAGAGACACAUGAUCGAGAGUAGAGGUGUUGAUAUCAGUGAAGGUAGAGACAGCUAUACGAGCCCUACACCUAGUUUGAGGGGGGAAAUAAAUCAGAUUCUACAAGGAUGGGAAUUUAUUUUAAU
rnacentral:lncRNA from 1 species